AUAAUACUCCCUUCGUCCGGAAUUACUUAUCAUCAAAAUGGAUGUGUCUAGAACUAAAAUACAUCUAGAUACAUCCAUUUCAAUGACAAGUAUUUUCGGACGGAGGGAGUAGUAG
rnacentral:pre_miRNA from 1 species